GUUGAAUAACAUUUCUAAUUUACAAAUAUAUCAAUAAUGACUAAUUAUAUUUAAAUUUGAAACAAAGCUAAAGAUCAUACUCUGAAUUUGGAAAUUAUAAUAAAAAUGACUGACAAAGCCAAUUCAAAGAAUCAAUAUCAUAUGGAAUAUCAUCCUCAAGAAUUGCAUGUUCACCUUGGUAAUGACUUGGAUUGAGAGCAAUACUUAGAGAUGCAUUAAAAGCUUGAACAGAAAUAACUGAAUUAUUCGAAUAAAUUGUUGGACUGAUUUCUUUAACAAUUGAAUUAUAUCUUUCUCUAAGCUGUAAAUAUGAAAUAUCUCCCAAUGGAGGAAGAAUUGAAGGGCUAUUUUCCGCAUCAUCAGAAGUGAUUGUAGAAGGAGUAUUUUCGCCAUUAUUUGAAUUUAUCGCAUUUAUUUUAAACUUUAGUUUGGUAAAAUUAUCCUCAACUCUAAACUCAAAUUCAAUACUAUCUUGAAUUUCAAACAUUUUUUGUGGUAUCAUAUGUAAUACUGGCUUCCAAAAUGUUGUUUUAUGAUAACAAAUCUUUUUAUUAAGAUCAUUUUGAAUACUUUCCAUUGGUAUGGUAUUUUCAGUUAACUCAUUUAUUGCAGAAUUUACAGAAUUUGAUGAAGAAGUUGUUGUUGGAGUAUUUUCUUCCAAAUAAUUAAAAGAGUUGAUCCUUUCAGUAUUAUCAACAAAUAAUGGGCUUGUUGUAAGCACAUUUCCAUCAUCAAUCCAAAGAUCAAAGAAAACUACAACCGAAUUAACUCUUCCUUGCUUAAUUAUUUUCGAGUUUAUCUCCUUCUUCCAAUCAGAAAGCUUUAAAAAUUCUUCAGAAUUCAAAUCUAAUGUUAAAAUAUGGAAAAUUUUGCUCAUUUCAGAUAUGUUAUACUUAUUAUUAUUUUUAAUAGGAAUCCAUUGUGAGUUUCCUUCGAAUCUAUAAGUAUCCCAAAAACUUAUAUCAAUAUUAUGUUCAUCACAUAAAUUUGGACCAAUUCUCGCAACAAAUCCAUAAAAUGAAAUUCUAUUUGGUACUGGAAUAUUUGGAACCUUAUUAUUAUUAUAUUUUCUUACUAAUCCAUUACUAAAUGCAGUUCCCCAAAGUGGAAUUAUUCCUUCGCUUAGACCAUCAUGGUCAAAAUUCAAUCCAGUAAAUAAUCUAACCUUUUCCUCAACAAAGUAAUAUUGAAUAUUACUUGUAUUUGGACCAAUAUUUGCAGUUUUUGGUAAUAUUUGCCUUACAUCACAAUUAAAAAACGUUAAUCUUUCAGAUAGCUUUUUAUUUAAGAUAUGCUUUGCUGAAGAGUUAUUCGAAAUCCAUUGAUAAUACUUCAUCUUUUCUUGGUAUUCUUUUUCUUUAUUCAGAUUCUCCAAACCACGACAAUCUUCUGAAACUUCACUCAUUGGUUUCCAGUAUUUUGAUUGGUUUGCUUCCAAAUUAUCAUUUAA
rnacentral:antisense_RNA from 1 species